AGGCGGAGACUUGGGCAAUUGCUGAACACUGCCCUGGGCAUUGCACUUGUCUCGGUCUGA
rnacentral:pre_miRNA from 1 species